AACAGACAUAGCCAUCUCAUGAAGAUGACUCUUUUACAUCCGACACAAGGAUAAUAGCGCUAUAAAAGAAAUCCAAAAUUUUGGUCCAGAACUUCCGGUCUCCGGAGAGAUGCUCGAUUCGUAUCAAACAAGUCGUAUAAGCCGAGAACUUUUCGCGGACUUUACAUCGAUACGAAUCAGGAAGAAAUCGCGACAGGAAAAACGAUAGCCGGUUAGUCACCGCACAAUCCUUAAACCGAAAGUAAACCUAGGUCUUGCCCUAAACCCAGCGCACUGGUCUCUAACAUCUCAAAGGCAUGAUAUCGAAAGAUAAGAGAUUCUUAAAACACGCCUCUAUGUUUACGUUCGAUACCUUCAGCACCCCCGCAGAGUUCACAUCUCGCGGAAGAACUCUCGAAACAGGUCUCGAAUAAAACAUUUCACAAUCGAAGAAGGGUAUGAGACGACAACUCAUCACCUUCCUCCCCACUAUUCACAAAUUCAUAAAAAGCGUUGUCCGAUUAUCAUAUCAUAAAGCCGCGGAGCGGCAGGGAUUCAAAGCCACACACGGCCAGUCCCGAAGUACAAACAAGGCCAUUCAAGGCCGAAACAUAAAGACAUAAAAAAAAAAAACAAAUCUCUCGCAAGAGAUUUAACCCAAGUCACCCUCAGAACUUACGCCCCCUCUUCACCCGCCGCCUCGUCCGAGCCUGGAGCCGCGUCGCUUCCAUUCUCUCCGACCAUCGGAUCUUUCCCCUCUGGGUCUUCUGAACACGUCAGAAGGAAGCAAGCGGAUUUUAGGUCGGCCAGGAUGAGACCGAAAUGCCAGAACGAUUUCUUUUCUGGCCGGAGGCGGAGGCAUAGAGUCAGCGGCCUUUUCUUUGUCCUCGACAAGGAUCAGAGUCGUGGAAGAUCCCGCAGGUAGGACUUGCGGGAGAGGAACCGCGACGUCGGUCCCAUGACACGGGGCAACGACCUGCUCGGAGGAAGACGGAAACUCGGAGCCAGUCUGAGCCAAUCCUUUCUCGGCUUAACGACGAACUAGUUUCUCUCGGAAAGAAAGAUGACCGGCAACACAAGCCGGCACUUCCGCCGGAGAAGUUGGAACCGGAGCCGGAGAAGUG
rnacentral:lncRNA from 1 species